rnacentral:rRNA from 1 species
UACGAAGGGGGCUAGCGUUGCUCGGAAUCACUGGGCGUAAAGGGCGCGUAGGCGGGUCGGCAAGUCAGGGGUGAAAGCCCGCGGCUCAACCGCGGAAGGGCCUUUGAUACUGCCGGUCUCGAGGGAGGCAGGGGAGCGCGGAACUUCCGGUGGAGCGGUGAAAUGCGUAGAUAUCGGAAGGAACGCCGGUGGCGAAAGCGGCGCUCUGGUCCUCUUCUGACGCUGAGGCGCGAAAGCCAGGGGAGCAAACGGG